AACGGUGGCCAUGGUAAUGUCAACUAAGAAGGCAUUUAAGAAUGAUGGCUGAGUUUAUAGUGAUUAUAUCCUGACAAAACCCUGGUAUUUAAAGCGAUUGUUGAUUCACUUCUUGCAGUCUCUUUGUGUAGUUCUGCUUGUUGUGUCUGUUAGUCACGGAGUAAACAUUAUUACAGACAUUAGCCGCUAAUGCUAACGUAGGUUACUUCUGUGUCCUUACCUCUUUAGCCCGCUAACAAAAGCACUUUGGACUCUUCCCAAACAGACCUCCGUCAGAUAACGGCAUACAAAUAUAUAUGAUUCAAACUUUUCAACCCCAAAUUUGAAGGACUGUCUUUCAAAUUUCCCUCUUCCUCCUUCUGCUACUUCUUCUUCUUCAGUUGUAUUGCAGGUGUGACGGUGUGAACAAGCUGAUCUGAGAUGUCCACUUCUGACAAAAAACAUCCGGUCCAAGCCAGUAGUGUGGUUGUGACAGCAGUUUGAUGACAGCAGGGAUGCCAUAGUGAAGCCGCACAGCAUUCUGAGCCAGCUCUGCAUCCUGAUGGCGGGAGGUCAGGUGACGCAGUGCGCAGACAGCCGGCUCGGCGACGUCCUCCUUCUCCCCGGCACGAAGCACAGCAUGAAUCAACGCCUCCACGCCGCCAAACUGUGUCACCAGAGUCUGACGAGGAGAGAGUUUAAUUAAAGAAAAGUUUAAAAACAGACAAAUGACGAGGCUGUUUCAACACAGCAUUUAAUCUUUGUCAGUUCCAUUUAUACCUAAUGUACCUAUAGAGGAACAUUUUGACAUGAAGUAUUGUUCUCUGAUGAAAUAGGUUUGGGUCAAAUAAUCCCUGGACAUGUAGAAGGUGAAAAAAAUAGAGAAAUGUAGAAUUCUAAUGUCCUUUGAUGAAGAGUAUUGAAUUUUAUUGUUUUAUAAUGUUGUGUAAAAGUGUUAUA